UCUCCAGUUUACACAUUGAGGGGUUGUUUUGCCCUAAUCGGGAGGGGAAAGGGGAAGGAAUAUUAUGGGUUGUAGAUAUUUAAUUAACAUUUAAUACACGUGGAAGAGUGGGGGCAUUUCCAUUUCUUUUGGCCCCCAAAUGGCCACAAUCAAACCACCAAAGCUGGAUGGAAAAUGGACACGAAUUAAUUAAUUAAUUAAUUUAUUUAUUUAUUUAGGAGAACCAGUCCCAGAUGGAUUUUCCUCCCGGUGUUUUUCCCUCUCUGAAGACAAACCCAGAACGUUUCUUUGGUGAAAACCUCUCUUUCUGAUGUAUUUGUUAUAAUUUGAUGUUUAUUAUCCCGUGGGUUGCUUGGAGAGCCAUCAGUGACAGAAUUCCUGCCCCAUUCCCAGCAAGGGCUGCCAUGAUUCCAUAAGGAAUUGGGUCUCCUAGGGAAACAUGUGACUGUUCCCUCAUUUACUCCUCCUUUGGGAGCAGAUUCCAUAUGAAUUCACAUGGCUUUGGCUGAAAUUCCAAGGAUAUUAUUCCCAAGGGUCACUUGCCUACACUUUGGGUUGGAUUGAUCUUUCUUUAGGGCGUGAUUUAGCAAGUGCUGGAAAUUCUCCUCAGUGCUCGUGCAGCCUCUACUUCCAAAAUAUCCUGGGAAAAGGCUGGAAUGCAGCAUUCCAGCUCUGCCAGGAGCAGGGCUGUGUGGGAAGUGCUGCACAGAAACAGAACUGCUCCUGAAGAGCAGCAGGAAAGGAGGAAUAAAAACCAGGAGGUUUUUACUGCUGGAAAUGACUAAUUUAAAACAAAACCAAAGCCUUUCCAAAGCAUUGUCUCCUGCUGGAAGCAAGAUUUUCCAUCAGAUUUUCAGGAUUUGGCGAGAAUGCCUAAAAGAAAGCCAGAUAAAUAUUUCAGAUGCUCAGCCGAAGUUCACUCCGGGAAGGAAUUGCACCUGGAAGUUGUUCCUUGGGGUUUGUUUUAUUUGGAGUGAUGCUCUGGGCUCUUCAGGGUGGGGCAGGUCCCAUCCCAAAUAUCCCAUGGGAAUAGAAACACUUCAGCAUUCCUGGGAUAAAGCAGUUCGUCUUCAGCUUUGGCCCUCCCAGAUCCCUGAGGAUCCGGUGCUGCCGUUCUAGGACUCUCAAAAGCUGGGAGGAAGCCCUGGGCAGCCCCUGGGGUGAGAUCCCCUUAUCCCUCCCAAUUCCCAGCCCCUGGAAGUGACUGAUCCCAAAAUCCCGGUGGGGAAAGAGCGAUCCAAACAGCAAUUUGGGAUAUUAAAGAUUUAGAGAGGAGUGGUGAGACCCUGCCAGCUGGGAUGUGAACCAUGGCAGGAUAAGAGGAUGAGAAUUUGGGUUUUAUUCCAGCAAAAUUUGUAUUCCAGGAUUUUGGAUGCCAGGAACAACUUCCAGGUGGAAGGGUUUGAUAAUAUUCCCAUUUUACCAUCUCCUGACUCCAGAGCUCUCCUGGUGGGUGCAGAGCUCCCACUGGGCCCUCCCAGGGAUGUGGGAGCCAAACUGGAACCCGAGAUUCCGGAUCUAAGGACAAAAGGGGAAUAUUUUGGAAAUUAUUCAAUUCCCUCCCAGAUAAUAUUCCAGCCUUGAAGUCUCCUGCCUCCCUGGCCUCCUUGACUGCCUGUGUAGGGCACCCCUGGAUUUUCCAGCUCCCGGUUUGUCCGUGGCAAUGGGAUCAUUUUGGCCCCGCUGGACGAGCACUGGAAAACAGCUUGGAUUCCCUUUUUUCCCUUUUCCUCACAGGAAUUCCUGCCACCAGGACUGGGGAGUUCUUCCCUGUGCUGGCACAGCCCAGAACUUCCUCAUGAGGUGCAGCCAGAGGGAUUUUUCAUGGGCACAUCCCAUGGAUUCCUCCAUAAAUCUCCGCACAUGAUCCGCGGGGAAUUGGAGGCCAGAUUUUGAGCGUGGGUAAGGGAGACCUGUGGGAAAGCAGCCGCUGAAGGCACCAGGACCACAACAAUUCCUGAGCUCCAUCGCCAUGGAAACAGCGAAUCCACGCUUGGGCCAUGGAUGCAAACUGGAUUCCAGCGGGAGCAGCGGUGGGACGGCUCUGGAACAGCUCUGUGUGCUCGGCAUGGAGGGGGAAAGGUGGGAGAAGGGGUUUCCAUCUCCAGCUCAUCCCAGUAUUUCUGGUGGGUGAUGCAGGGAAUAAACAGAAGAAAGGAAGGUUUGGGCUCCAGUGGCUGCAGGGCCAGCCCUCACCGGGCUCUUGGAUUUCAGAAUGCUUGGAAUGAGCUCAUCCCACAAAAAGGAGCUGUGGACACAUCCUGGAUCAAGCUGAGGGUGGGGAGGCCCUGGCACAGAUUCCCAGAGAAGCUGUGGCUGCCCUGGAUUCCUGGAAGUGUCGAGGUUGGAAUAACCUGGGAUAGCGGGAGGUAUCCCUGCCCACGGCUGGGGGGUGGGAUUGGGGUGGAAUUUAAGGUCCCUCUAUCCCAAACCAUUCCAGAAUUCCAUGAAUGGAAAGCUCCCAUUCCUCAGGGAGUCCCACUGGAAGGGUGCCCGUGUGUCCCAAGGGGGAUCCCAGCUGUCUCCCUCUCCAGCCUGAGGAACAGCCAUUUUUCCAAUCAUUUUCCAGAGGCAAGCUCCGAAAAAUUCAGGAAGGAAGUUCAGCCUCAUUAAAACCCCUCUGUGUGUUCCCUGUCCCUCCUGCCCCUCUGUGCGCGCCAAACUGUGCCAAAGGCAUGGAAACAGAGAGCUGGGAAUGGGAUUCAUCCCAGAAAUCCCUUCCAUUUGCAUCCAAAGGCGGGAUAUUUAUGGAAGCAGCAGCAUCCUGUCUCUCUGGAUCUCGGCCUGACCCGGGGAACCUUUUAUUACAGCAAGAAUUAAUUAAUAUUUGAUUAUUUCCUGGCUCCUUGCCCCAUUCCCUCCCAUGGAUCCCAUGGGAAUAUUUUAUUUGUAUUGUGAAAAAAGGAGAUUUUAAUGAAAUUCUGCUACUUUUGUGCUCUGAGUUGCUCAAAUGGGGCAGGAAAUUGAGCCCCACCCUUCAGACACAUUAAUUCCCACUGUCCAGGGAGGGAACAGGGAAAACAGAAAAAGAUGGAAUUUUUUUUCACUUCUUAAGAAAUGAGAGGAUUGGGAAUUCCUGGAGCAGGAAAACCCAACCAAAUAAAAACCUCAAAAAAUCCCAACCAACCAAAAACCUUCAAAACACCAAAACAAAGCCCUGAAACACCAACAGAGAACCCCAGUAAAAAAUAAAACCCAAUUCCAAAGAAUCCCAGGGGAUAUUUCAGAGACUUCCCCGCGUUUGAAGCAGCCGUUCCCCAUCCAGAGGGGGACUUUUGGUCCAA